GACGAACGCUGGCGGCGUGCCUAAUACAUGCAAGUCGAGCGCAGUGGCGAACGGGUGAGUAACGCGUAGGUAACUGCCUCAUAGCGGGGGAUAACUAUUGGAAACCAUAGCUAAUACCGCAUACUGUGGGAGGGACCUGCGUUGUAUUAGCGAGGUGGUGAGGUAACGGCGUACCAAGGCCACGAUGCAUAGCCGACCUGAGAGGGUGAUCGGCCACACUGGGACUGAGACACGGUCCAGACUCCUACGGGAGGCAGCAGUAGGGAAUCUUCGGCAAGGGGCGAAAGCCUGACCGAGCAACGCCGCGUGAGUGAAGAAGGUUUUCGGAUCGUAAAACUCUGUUAUUAGAGAAGCGGUACCUAACCAGAAAGCCACGGCUAACUACGUGCCAGCAGCCGCGGUAAUUC
rnacentral:rRNA from 1 species